rnacentral:rRNA from 1 species
UAGAGUUUGAUCUGCUCAGAACGAACGCUGGCGGCAGGCUUAACACAUGCAAGUCGAGCGCCCCGCAAGGGGAGCGGCAGACGGGUGAGUAACGCGUGGGAAUCUACCGUGCCCUACGGAAUAGCUCCGGGAAACUGGAAUUAAUACCGUAUACGCCCUACGGGGGAAAGAUUUAUCGGGGUAUGAUGAGCCCGCGUUGGAUUAGCUAGUUGGUGGGGUAAAGGCCUACCAAGGCGACGAUCCAUAGCUGGUCUGAGAGGAUGAUCAGCCACAUUGGGACUGAGACACGGCCCAAACUCCUACGGGAGGCAGCAGUGGGGAAUAUUGGACAAUGGGCGCAAGCCUGAUCCAGCCAUGCCGCGUGAGUGAUGAAGGUCUUAGGAUUGUAAAGCUCUUUCACCGGUGAAGAUAAUGACG